rnacentral:rRNA from 1 species
AUUGAACGCUGGCGGCAUGCUUUACACAUGCAAGUCGAACGGCAGCGCGGGCUUCGGCCUGGCGGCGAGUGGCGAACGGGUGAGUAAUGCAUCGGAACGUGCCCAGCAGUGGGGGAUAGCCCGGCGAAAGCCGGAUUAAUACCGCAUACGACCUGAGGGUGAAAGCGGGGGACCGAAAGGCCUCGCGCCAUUGGAGCGGCCGAUGUCGGAUUAGCUAGUUGGUGGGGUAAAGGCUUACCAAGGCGACGAUCCGUAGCUGGUCUGAGAGGACGACCAGCCACACUGGGACUGAGACACGGCCCAGACUCCUACGGGAGGCAGCAGUGGGGAAUUUUGGACAAUGGGGGCAACCCUGAUCCAGCCAUGCCGCGUGCGGGAAGAAGGCCUUCGGGUUGUAAACCGCUUUUGUUCGGGAAGAAAUCCUCUGGGCUAAUACCCCGGGGGGAUGACGGUACCGGAAGAAUAAGCACCGGCUAACUACGUG